CGGAACGAGUUAUCUGAACCUUCGGGGGACGAUAACGGCGUCGAGCGGCGGACGGGUGAGUAAUGCCUAGGAAAUUGCCCUGAUGUGGGGGAUAACCAUUGGAAACGAUGGCUAAUACCGCAUGAGCCUACGGGCCAAAGAGGGGGACCUUCGGGCCUCUCGCGUCUCGAGGUUACGCCUAGGUGGGAUUAGCUGUUGGUGAGGUAAGGGCUCACCAAGGCGACGAUCCCUAGCUGGUCUGAGAGGAUGAUCAGCCACACUGAACUGAGACACGGUCCACACUCCUACGGGAGGCAGCAGUGGGGAAUAUUGUACAAUGGGCGCAAGCCUGUGC
rnacentral:rRNA from 1 species